UUCCCCCUUUUUUCCUGAUAUAUGCAUCGCAUAAAUUUUUUUGAUUGAUAAACAAAAACAGUAUUGAAAAGCACCAAAAAGGGGUGCACCAAAGUACACAUGAGGUAUACCACGGCCCAAAAAGCACCAAAAAAAAGGAAAGAGAAAACAAAAAACUAGUCCCUCCCUCAAACUGAACCCAACCAAUCAAUGAAAUCAAAUAAGGACAUCUUUCUCCCAUAAAUUACUUUUUGCACAUAUAUGUAUCUUUUUACUUUAUUUGGUAACUCUCCAAAUAAACUAGUCAUAAAUAUAAGCAAGAAGUAAAGAAUUCAACCUUUGAAAAUACUACCAUUCUUUUAGGUGAUAAGUAAAUAAAAAAUUGUAAAGCAAGCAAGUGCCAAAAAACCGGCCACAACCCAUGUACUUGGGAUGUGUACAAGGAUCACUCAGGAAACAAAAGAAAAGAAAAGAAAAGAAUCCAUACAGCUGAAUAAGUACCUAAAACAUCAAAAAAAUCAACAAAUGAUAGCUUUCAUCUCCUACUGAACUGCUGGUCCACUCAAGCAUAUGUGAUGCAACCAGUGGGCAUCUUGAUACUUUAUUGACCUCCAAAAAUUGUUUCACAAUAAUCAGAUCACUGUCAAACAGUCCUUUGAAUGUUACUUACUCUUUUUACUAUUUCCAACUUCUGUUUAAUAUCAUGGAUAGCUAGUCAUUACAGUGUUGUGGUCUUGAUUUCUACCUUUCUGAUUUUUAGGUUAGAACUCAUUUUUUCACAAUAUAGUAGCUUUUUUUUUUCUCUUUUUUCUGAUUGAUUUGCUUUCAGUCAUGUGUUGUUUUUGGGUCUGUCUACAUUUACUUUUCUUAUAACACAUGCAGCGGGUGACAAGGCCAAGAGGAGGAAUAAAUGAAUGGCUUCACUGGCUCCCUGUUUCUCUUCACAAAAAGCUUGAUUACAUUAUAAGACAAUUACUUCUGCUAACAGUUCGACGGCGGAAACUUAUGCCUGUACCAAUGGAAAAUGGUGGCAGUGUCGGCUUAUCAUCUGUUUUAGAAGCUGAUGUGAAGCAGAUUGUGACCAUGGCUAGUGAGACAUAUGAAAAGUAUGUAUUUUCAUGUUCUUAUUUUUACAAAAAUUACUUUAUUACAUUGUCUUAAAUUUUAUGUUAAUGGAAAGAUGGUUACAACUGAAAAUGGGCUUAUUUCAUGCCCAUAGGAACCAUGAGAGAAAUAAAAACAAAAAGAAAGAGAAAAGGAAUAAACUUUCUGAUGGUUUCCACACAUUUAGAGGACUUCAGAGGGAUAUUAGUGGGUAAUUGUGAAAGUUAUGCAUGCAAGGUAUAUCAUUGUAUCACGCCAAAAAAUUCUGAAUAGGAUCAUAUUGGCAUGGAGAGAAGGGUUUUUUUUUGUUAAAUUAAUAUGAAGAUGCUCUUAUAUCAUAUUGUUGUAUGUGAUCUUUUCAUAAGCACUUUGUCAUUCACAACAUUUCUGGCAUUGCUGCAGUGCAUUUCUGGUAUAUGAAAUGCAGAAUUUUAUAUCAGAAAAAGUCAAUUAAUUGAGAAUUUAUAACUUGAUACUCCAGCUAUUUCCCUUUUAAAUGCAUCAGCAAAUUUGUCACUUGUGUGGCAUUUCUAAUUUGGAAAUUUUAUUUAUAAUUUUCCAAAAGGCCUUGGGUGUUGUUCCUUUUUUUUUUUUCGUUUAAUAAAAGUUUUUUCUUAUUCUUUAAAAGUAGUUAGGAUCACUAUCUUUCUAUCAAACUACAGUUAUGGGCAUUGCAGCCACAAGUUACUUCCCUUUAGUUCAACAAUCUGGUCAACCUGACUCUUGGUCUGCAUGCUCUCUUUAUUAAAAAAAUAUUCUUUUGGUUAAAGUUUGGGGCUUUACAUAUGUAGUUUAGUUCAUGCCAUUUCUUCCCUGGUAAAUACUCCUUACACCAGUCGCUAACCUACAUGCCAUGAAUGAAGCACUUUAUAGAGCUUCAACUUUUACAAUUCCCUGACCCACUAUUUUUUUUCUCUGUCCCUUUCUGUCUUCUUUCACAUUUAUAUCAUUUCUACCUUGCAUCACCUUACCUUUUAUGGACACAUUCAUCCGUGAUCCACACUUUACCAUUUGAAAAUUGACUUGGUUGGAACUCCACCAUCUUAUCCCCUACAAAUGCCAUUGUUUUUUUUUUUUUUUUUUGAUUGGAAACGCCACAAAUAUAUAUUAAUACAAAUGCCAUUGUACCAAGAUUUCUCUUUUGAAUAGUCCUUUUUUUUUAUUUAUAUUUAACUUUUUUUUUCUUUUUUUCUUGUUUUUUUUAUAAGGAGAAACAGAGGACUUGAUAAAAGCACUGGCAUAAACUAUUCUUGAUUGAAAUCUCAAAAAUGGGGUCUGGCAUUUGUCAAUUCUCAUCUUCCAUCCUAAAAUUAUUUACUUUGGCUAAAAAGAUACUUUGUUAGCUUCUCUGUCCAUAGUCUAAGUGGUUGUAUGUUCUAGGUAAACUUUUUUGUUCUUUUAAACCCAUUACUUGUAAUUUCAAGUCACCUUUUAUAUGAAUAUAUGUAAAUUUUUAGCUUUAAUCCAUCUCCAAGACUUUUUUUUUAAUCAGUAAAUGAGAUUUGUAUUAAAAACACCAAAAAAGGCGCACCAAAGUACACACGAUGUAUACAGCAGCAGCCAAAAAGCACCAAAAAAAAAGAAGAGAAAACAAAAAGAUACUCCCUCCCUCAAACCAACUCCAACCAAUCAAUGAAAUCUACCAUGGACAUCAAUCAUUCACCUAUAAACAGUUUGGUCCAAGUUAACAAGUUACACAAAACAAGUAUUUCAGCCUUUGGAUUAAAAGUUCCACAUUCUCAAAAGAUCUCCUAUUUCUCUUUUUCCAAAUAAUCCAGAAAAGGCAUAAAGGAGCUGCCCUCCAAACUUUUUUCCGCUUUCUUCCAACAAAGGAACCAUGCCAGCCUAGUAGAGCCUCUCUAAUUGUGGAUUGCAUCACCCAAAAAACUCUAAAGAGAGAGAAUAAUAGCUCCCACAACACCCUUACUUUGUCACAAUGCAAAAGGAUGUGGUCAAUUGACUCCUCAUGAGACAGACAUAGGAAACAACGGUUGGCCAAAGACCACCCCCUUCUUCGAAGCUGGUCAAGAGUCAAAGCUUUGCACUACCCUUCCUAUCUCUAGGCUAGCAUAAAGUGAUUUAACAGAGAAAAUCCCGCUUUUCAUUUCAACCCAACACACUUUACCCUUUUUAUCCUCUUCUACCACUUUAUCUUGAAGUCUUGCCAAAAAGCAUUCCACAAUAAGAAUCUUCCAAUCAUUUAAGGGCCUCGGGAAGUUAGGAUUCUAGCCACCCCCCUCAUUAGAAUGUUACCACAACUCCGCCACCCAAGCAUCUUUAAAGUUAGAAAGGGAAAAUAAAGAGGGAAAAGAAACAUUUAACAACUCAUCCUUGCACCACUUAUUUUUCCAAAACUUUAUCUUUUUCCCAUUGCCCGCUGAAGAGGACAAUUUACAACUAACUAAAUCCCACAACUUUCUUAUGGUCUUCCAUAACCCAACACCAUAGCCUUCUCUUGCUUCCUUAGAUCACCAACCCCCUUCCAAAUCCCCAUAUUUACCACUAAUGAUUUGUCUCCAAAAGGCCUCCCUUUUUGAAGCAAAGCACCAAAUCCACUUACAAAGGAGGGCCUUGUUAAACGAGUGAAGGCGCCUAACACCUAGGCCCCCCUUCCUUUUGUCAAAACAAAUGGUAUCCCACUUCACUAGAUGAGGCUUACUAUCUAAGGUCCCACCUCCCCAAAGGAAGUCCCUUUGAAUUUGUUUCCAACCUUAAUUGCACAAUCCUUAGCAUCCAGAAAAGAGACAAAAAGUAGAUUGACAAACUAGAUAAUGUACUUCUAAUCAACGUUAGUUUUCCCUCUUUGGAAAUAUAUUGUCUUUUCCACAAAGUCAAUCUUUUGCGGAAUCUUUCUUCCACCCCAUCCCAAGCCACCAACGAAUUAUAAGGAGCGCCUAAUGGGGGCCCUAAAUAGGUGGUCAAGAGCACUCCCACUUUACAACCUAAUACAAGGGCCAACUAAUCUAGGUCCUCCACUCUCCUUACCAGAAUAAGCUCACUCUUGGUUAAAUUAAUUUUCAAAAUCAAAAUGGUUUCAAACCACAUAAGCAACAAGCUUAAGUAGGUUAAUUAGGUAUGGGAGGCCUCACAAAAUACCAAAGUGUCAUCUGCAAACAGUAGAUGAGUAACCUCUAAACCCUCUCCACCUUUACCAUUCACUUUGAAGUCAGUCAAAAAGCCACCUUCCCUUGCCCUUUGAAGAAGACAGCUAAGCGCCUCCAUAGCAAGUACAAACAAAUACGGAGAAAGAGGAUCCCCCUGCCUUAAUCCUCUAGCUUUGGAAGAAACCCGAAGGGGUACCAUUCACAAUAACCAAGAAACUUGGAGAAGAAAUGCACCAAUUAAUCUAACCGAUCCACCUUUGUCCAAAACCCAUUUUUUCCAAGACUGCAAGUAAAAAGCCCCAAGUGACAUGAUCAUACUCCUUCUUAAUAUCUAGUUUGCACAGUUCCCCAACCCUAUUACUUUUCAACAUCGAGUCAAUUGCUUCAUUUGCUAUUAGGAUAACAUCAAGGAUUUGCCUACCUUCCACAUAGGCAUUCUGAAAAAUGGAGACCACUUCAUUGAUCAUCUUUUUAAGUCUAUUAGCCAACACUUUAGCCAAUAACUUAUACAAGCUCCUCACUAAACUUAUAGGCCUAAAAUCCCUAAGAUCUUUAGCCCCUCAUUUCUUUGGCACCAAUACUAGAAAUGUAGCAUUGAGGCUUUUUACAAAUCUGCUGUGAUUAUGAAAAUCCCUAAAGAAACCCAUUACCUCUUCCUUCACGACAUCCUAGCAACACUGCCAAAACGCCAUUGAAAACCCGUUGGGCCUUGGAGCUUGUCUCCCCAUUAAGAGCUGACAAUGCAUUGAAAACCUCUUCCUAAGUAAAAGGUUCCUCUAACUUCACUACAUCUUGCCUAUUUAAGGCUUCAAAGUCCAAGCCACUUAUACUAGGGCGCCGAUCCCCAGAUUUUGACAAAAAGGGCCUCGAAUGCCUGGACAAUUCCUACUUUAAUAUCAACCUCCUCUGUUAACCAGCCCCAUUAAUCUUGACCUUAGCCAAGAAAUUCCUCCUUCUAUGUGCAUUUGCCAUUUUGUGAAAAAAAAAUUGGUACUUCUAUCACCCUCCUUCAACCAAACUUCCCUUGACUUCUAUCUCCAGAUUGUUUCCUCCAUAAGAGCCCAUUUCCAAAAUUCUACCCUUGAUGCCUCUCUGGCAAUCUCCUCCUCAGUAGAUAAAGUCCCUAGUAACUCCUUAGAAUCCCCAAAGCCCACUUGUGUGAGGGCCAAAUUCUUUCUAAUAGCCACAUUGCCAAAUACCUUAGAGUUCCAGCUCUUUAAAAAACCUUUUAGUUUUUUUAGCUUUUGUGCCAAAAUGAAACUAGAGGAUCCUCUAAAACUAAGCCCCAACCACCAAGACUUCACUAGAUCCUUGAAACCCUCCUCCUUCAGCCAUAUAUUCUCAAACCUAAAAGGAGAAAGACCCCUCUGCAUCCUACCCACAUCCAACAAAAUUGGAGAAUGGUCUGACAUGGGUCUAAGCAAGAUACAUUGCAACACAUUGCUAAAAUGGUAUUCCCAUCCCUUAGAUACUAGGAAGCAAUCUAACCUUGAAUGGGCCUAAUUAUUUAAACCCCCACUCCAGGUAAAAGACCCCCUUAGCAAAGGAAGAUCUCUCAAAUGGAGGUCAUCAAUGACCUCUAUAAAUCUUCUCAUUGUCGAAGAUAGUCUCAAGGCACCAGAACAUUCACUUGGAAAUCUCACAACAUUGAAGUCUGCUCCAAUACACUACGGGUCACUCCACAUGCCCCUAAUUGCCCCUAAUUCAUCCCAAAAGUCCUCUCUAGCACUCCUAAGGGUAGGGCUAUACACCCCCGUAAAAAUCCAGACAAAACCAUCAUCACAAUACUUAAAACGACAAGAGAUUGAGUACAAACCCAAUUCCAUGCUCAACAACUCUAGCACUCUAUUAUCCCAAAAGACUAGAAUCCCUCUUGUUACCCCCCCUAGCAUUCACUGCCCCCCACUCUAGGAAUCUUCCUGUUCUUAGAUUGCGAACCACCCUUAUGGACGUCUUUUGGAUUUUGGUUUCCUGAAGGCAGACCAAAUCUACCUUUUGCGAUUUAAUGAAAGACUUUAGAACCAUCCUUUUAUUACUGUCAUUGGCCCCUCUUACAUUCCAAGAUAGAAUUCUUAACUUCAUGAGACAACCGUAGAUGACGCCCAACAUUCUCUACCCCUACCACCUUCUGUAUCUGGCCCCUUGUAGUUCACCGACCACUCUAAUUUCUUAAGCUCUCUUUCAAAACGAGAACCAGUCGAUUUAUUUUUUCUUUUGUUGUGUUUCUAACCCCCUUGAUUUUUUCGAGCCCUAAUUCUAUCAAGGAGUGCCAAAAUCCCAUCCUCAAAACCCUCAAUUGGCAUACCCAAGAAAUUACUAAAGGCAACCAGUGUGUUGAAAAACCUUCUCUUCUGCCUUGUCAACAUCUUCACUUAGGGCACAAUCCCUACCCUUGUCAAAGCUUGUCCUGACCUCUCCAGCCAUGACUUCCUUUCCUUUGAGAAUUGGAACCUCCAAUAGACUCCCAUCAGUCAAAAUCAUCAACGGGCCCUACUCCACAAGCAAACCCUUCCCCCUCACCUCCACCAUUUGACGACUGGACAAUGAGGCCACCUCCAAGCACCCCUCGCCGCAACCACCUAGCAAAGAAGGAAUAGAAGAAGAGAAAGCCCCAAAACCCAAAGAGGGAAAAGAAAGAGGAAUCUAACCUGGAUAACUCACCCCUUCCUCCAAAAGGGCUUCAAUGGUCAGUGGCCGGAGAGAAAUCGGCAAUGAAAAGACUUGCCUUGGGGGAGAAACCACCCCACCACCAAAAACGUUUGCACUAUAGCCAUCCUCUGCAUCUCUAAAAUGCAAGAGAGCCCUAUUCCCCUUUUUAGAGCCUUCCCGAUCCAAAUAUGAAAGGCUUAAAUGAGGCGGGCUCAGAUUGUUUAGCCCAUUCACUAAAAGAAUUGGGCUUCGACUGGGUUAGGCCUCCACGAACACAAGCCCUUUAACAAAUUUAAGGCCCGACUCCACACCAAAGCAAGGACUUUCCACAUAGGGGUAGUCUACCCCCUGCUCAGCCACACGACCCCUACCAUCUCCCAAAACCCCUCCUUUGUCAACAUCUUGUCCUGCCAACCCUAGCAUUGCAGCCGACACCAUACCAACCAACUUGCCCCCACCACCAGGCGGCGACACAUCCACAACCUCCUUUUGUAGAUUCAAACUUUGUCUCCUCACGCCUUCAACAACGCGUGACUGGCCUUCACCCUCAUCCCUUUCUUUCCAUCGACUGGUUUCACCUUUCGAUUCCACACGAGAAAGCCAUGGUGGGACUUCCCACCAUAGGUGUACUGCAUAAACUACCAAGCCUUCAACUAUCUGCAAAGUCCCUAGCGUUGCGCUCCCAAUUGAACGCACCAAAACUUUGGCCCAUUGCAUUUGUUGACCACUAGCAGUAUCCUCAUCCACUUAUACAAAACCUUCACAAGAAUCACCAUUCUUUUUUGAAGUCUCUCUACACCAGAGGUGUAAAGGAAGCCCCACCACUUUGACCCACACCUCCUUUGCAUGAACCUCUUUCUGGUAGCACCCUACCACAGGGCUCCACCAAUCCAAGCUUAACACCCUAUCCUUAAACCUCCGAACACCCCUUAAAAACACUUUCUUAGCAUUAGAAAUAACCUUAAAGUCAAACAGCAAAAGAGCUUCCCCAAACUGAGAAAUCUUUACACUCCCCUUCAAGGGCUAGUUAAAGUCCACCCAACUAUAUAAAGAGCUUAAAUUUGGGACAAGGGUGGAGCCCUCACUCCACCUCCCCAUCAAACAUCUCUGCAAAUGCGCCUUUCUCUUUUGAACCACCACAGACCCUGCCUAAAUCCAAAUAGCUUCACCCAAUCUACCAUGAGCCUUCCUGACUGCAUCCGUGAACGAGCCUUUCGUCCCAUCCUUUGAGCUACCCCCAUCUUCCACAGACCUAAAGUUGAAAGAGGGAGGAGCGUCCCCAAUCAUAGAGAGGGCAUCAACCCCAAGGUGGCAAAGCUUUUUCGCCAAUACCGGCCACCCCCCCCCCCCCCCAGGUAGACCCCUUUCUUUAGGAAAACACAGAGAAAAUCUCUUAGCCUCCACUGUUUUUACCAUGCAAUGAAUGAAUCUUCCAGCCCUGUUUGAAUGGUGUUCCAAUCUGAACUCUCUACCAUUUUCCACCCAAAUGUUGCUACACCACUUACUAGCUUCAUUCCUGCAACAAGCUUCCACUCCAUCCAACAUAUUACACAAACUGGACUCCCCAAAUCUGAUCCAGGAAGAAAAGCCUCUACUUCUCUCCACAAUUCUCCCCAACAGCUUACCCCCAACCUCCUCUAACAAGAUUUCGAAGGAUUUGGACUCAACAACAAACCAGCUUUUUCCUCCUCUCAUUCCUUCAUCUACUAAAACUUACAAACCAAGAUUGGAGUUGUUACCAGUUUUAGUAAAAAAAUUUAGCUUUAAUCCAUAUCCAAGACUUGUAGGUAGGUAUGGUAACCUAGAAGAUUUGGGAAGGGUACCCAAAUCCAAAUCAAGUUGGGAAUUGGUGACCCCAACACAAACCCAAAUGAAGUUAGCAUAUUUGAUCUCAAAGUGCCCUAGCCUGAUUGUACAUAUAUAAAUGUGCGCGCACACACAAAAAUUAUGUGUGCGUGUGUGUAAACAGAAAUUUAUUGGGCAACCUAUGUGUAUAUGUUGCCUCUGGUUUGAUAGGCUACAUGUAUGUUAAUAGGGUUGCAACUAGUCUGGCUAAAGCUGGUCAAAGGACAGUCCAGACUAUGUAUAUUCUGUUCACGCCCCAUCCUGUCCCGGCUGUCCAUAGGCAUUAGUCUGAGUUCCAUGCGGUGAUCCAUGUGCUGAAUUUGAGCUAGCCAUACAUCUUUAAUGUAAAACUUCUAUUUCUUUCACAAAGAGUAACUUGAAUGUGUGAUGGUAAAUUGUCAACUUUGUAGCUUACACUAAAGUUACUAAUUUAAAUACAAGAAAGAUCUGAAACAUACAGAAUUACACAUAGAGACGUAAGUAAUCAUCAAACUUGGGCCAUUAGCUGAUCCACAUGGAGCCCAAGCUCAACCAUAUUGCAGGUUUGAGAUUAUAUUAUGAUUAAACUCUGCUCAAAGCAACUUCAAGAAAGGCCGAUUACAAGUAUUUUGGGAUGAAUGAGUAUCAUGCUAGCACAGCCCAGAUGUAUAAGAGCAUACACAAAGUAUGUUAAUCUACCAUUAGACUGAUACUAUUCAUGCUACCCAAACUCAAACUAGUCUGUUAUCUCACUUGGUGGCAGAUUUGUCACAUUAGGGGAAGUGCUAGUUAUGCGCAUGAUCUGACUAAUUUCCUUCCCAAUGUUGUUUUGUCCAAGAUGAGUAUCAUUAUUUUAUAUUCCCAUUAAUGGAAUUCCUUAAAGCCUAUGAUUAUAGUCCUCUAGUUCCAUUGUAAUUAUGUUUUAUUUUUUAUUUUUUUGAUAGGAUUGUUAUUAUGUUUUAUGGAUCCAUUGAAGUAGAAUUUACAAGUGGAUGGUGAGGAUAUCCCCAUCUUAUGACUUUUUUCCUGUUUGGUUUCAUCUGGGAUUCCAUUUUCAGAUCCAUUAUUGUAAAGUCCUAGUGCGAUCACUGAGGUAGAAGCUUUCACCAUGUUACCAAAAGAAUUACUGUGUGUAUCUUGAAAUUCAGGCACGAAGAAGACGAGAUAUUAAUUAUUUUCUUAAGAUUUGCAUCUAAUUUGUAUACUUGUAUCCAUCUGAUCUUUCCCAUCAUAUACCAUUUACAAGGGCCUGAACUUGCUCUUAAACAUUCAUUUGAUAGGUAUAUUACUGUAAUGUCCAUGUUAUCUCUGUGAAUGGAACACUCAAAUUGAUAUUUAUAUUGUUCUAUGUUUGCUUUGGGACCUUCUGCAUUCUUGUGGUGUGUGAGGGAGAGCGUUCAUAUCAAAAUGAUGGAAUCUCUUGCAUGUUUGCCAUCAUAUUACAUCUUGCUUGUCCUUUUGGGUAAUGAUAUAAAGUGCUGUGCCUUUUUAUGAUGCUUCUUAUUGUACUUGAAUUGUUUGGAAACUGUUGCAUGUUUGCAAUAAUGCAUUUUGCUUGUCUUUUUGGGUGAAUGAUACUGUGCUUUUUGUGAUGCUUCUUAUUAUACAGGAAUUGGUGUAAUUUCUGUUAUCUCUGAAUGGUUUAUCAAGAAAAGAUUCAUAAGUUUUUUCUAAACAAAUCCAGUGCCUUUCUACCUCCAGAUUCCAAAUUUUCUAAUAUGGAAUGGAGCAUAGAUCUCACAUAUACUUGUUAUUGAUACCUCCAUUUGGUAGCCUUUAAUAAUUUUUUUGGAAAAGAUUGCAGUCUCAAUAGAUGUAAAUUUUCCUCUAUUGUCUUUUGGUUGGCUAAAUAACAAAUGCUAUUUUACUUUCUUUCAGGGAAGGCCCUCUGUUAGUGGUUGCAUCUGGCAGGGACACCAUAUCUAUUGCAAGCUCCAUAAAAAAAUUAGCAGCUGAAAAUGUAUUUGUUGUUCAGGUUUGUUAAUUGGUCCUUAUCUUUGUGUCAGUUUAUUCAUCAAUGUGUUUCCAAAGAACUUUGGGCAACUAAUUUUUUGUAUUAAAUAAUCCAACACAAUCUGAGCAAUUUUAUGCUGGUUAUUUUGUUCAUGGUAUCUUUUUUCUUAUUGAAGAUCAAGGAAUAUUGGUUAGCCGUUGCAUUGCAAUGUGAUUCCAUUUGGUAAAGCUUAUCAUUUAGUGUUGAUCGCUAACAGUUAGAUUUUUAUAGUGUUAGAUCAGACUAGGUUAGAGUUUCUGAUAUUUUUGAAGUCUGGUUUUUAUUGUUAUUUAAAUUUGUAAUCCAUAUAAACUCGAUUUAGGUCAACGUGAAUUGGUUUUCAUCUUUUAUGAUAUAAUUUUAUUGGGAAACCUUGUCUGAGCUCUUGUGGAAUUGGAAAGCUCUCCUUUGUGGUGGUGAUAUCUUGGUGGCACCAUCUACUGAACAAUUCCUUGCAUUUCAACUAGUUUUGACUCAACAGAAUUAUGACAAAGGAUAAAGGCAGUUAAUAUUGAGGCUAUUUUAGUGCCUCGAUAUUCACUGAUAUAAAAACAUCCUAGAUUCCGAACAUAAAAAUGUCAAGAUGUAACUGAAAGCCUGAAAUAUUGAAUAUGUGUCCUAAAAAUUCAUUCUCCGAGGAGAUAUCUUGGAAAUAUUGGCAUUGUAUCAUUAGAACAUCAGCAAUUAUUACUGAUGUUUCUAUAAAAAUUUAUGGCCAACACUAGUAUAUUAGUUCAAAACCUUAGAAUGAAAUGCCUGAUUGUAGCUAAACUACCUAGGUGUUAAAGAAGGGGGAGAGACACCAAAUGGUGGUGACAUCAGCAUUUGUUGCAGGUGUUCUUUUUCAUUCCCUUUUCUUAUGUGCCUUUUUCUCAGAUUUUGACCUAGUAGUUGCUGAAUCAAUUGGAUGAUAAGAAGAAAAAGAAGAGUAAUACAAGAGAGAGAGAGAGAGAGAGAGAGAGAGGCUGUGAGAGAACGGGUUUUUCCCUCAACUCCUUUGUAGUCAUAUCAUCUACCAUUAAUUCCAAGUUUACAAGAGAUACACCUAAAUCAACGAUAAGAACAAAUUUGUAGGAAUACUCCAAAUUGACUAGCCUUGUGAUUCAUUCACUCUUAUAUGAUUAAAAAAUGCUCGUGAAUAUUGACUUGCUCCUUAUUUCUCUUCCAAUGCUGCAGGUCAAGACAUUAGUGCCUGUGUUCAAAUAUCUAGUUCUAAUACUAAUCAGUGACCAAAGUUUUCAUCCUAUAUAUCCUAAAUUUGUUAUGUUUUCAAAACAAUGUUUUAUUUCCAAAUAAUGCAGUAUUUUUUUGUAUUAUCAAUCCUAAAGUUUUAUUUCAAAUUGUUCAUGUGUUAGUAGUAAUUUCCUUCAUUUUACUUUUUGAAUACUUGAACAUCUUUCCAUGCAAUAUUAAAUUGUUCAUUUUGCUUUUCUUUUGUGCAUUAUGUUUUCAGAUACAGCAUCCAAGAUCACAGUUACAUAGGUUUGACUUAGUGGUUACCCCUCAUCAUGAUUACUAUCCUUUGACUCCUCAAGCACAGAAGCAGAUUCCCCGUUGUCUUCGCAGGUGGAUAACUCCCCUUGAACCUCCUGAUAGGCAUGUGGUGGGUAUUACUAUCUCAUAUUGGUUUGUUUUAUCUGAGAAACUUUCAACUUGAUUAAAUGUCAACUUUGUUUACUCUCAGUUUUGUACUGUAUGCUAAGAACUUUCUUUUUCAGGUCCUCACUGUAGGGGCUCUACAUCAAAUUGAUUCUUCUGCACUUCGGAGUGCAGCUAGUGCAUGGCAUGAUGAGUUUGCACCUCUUCCAAAGCCACUACUUGUGGUUAACAUUGGAGGGCCUACAAGUAAUUAUUAUCAUUCUUUUAAAUAUUUAAUUUAACUUACUGCUGAUUUGAUCCUAGACAUUAACAUAUACCUGAUGUCAGAUAAUUGGUUACUAAUUGUAUGAUCAUAUCCUUUUUAUGUUGCAUGGCACUUUUAAAUGAGCAACAUAUCCACAUGGGUGCAAACAUGGUUUUGCUCCUCAUCUUGCAUAUUGGCCAAUUAAGAUAGUCAUUGUACAAGUUGAUAAUUGUCAAAAUAAUUAUGUGUCAUCAACAAGCUUGUGGCAAGUUUUUUCCCACUCUUCUUGUAAAAUAUCUUGCAAAAGAAUAAGAUUCUUGAAUUCCUUAAAUUCAAAAGAAAUUCCAACAAUUCUUAUUAUACAAUCAUAGGAUUCUUAAUGUUUGCCCUCAAUCAUAAUAAUGUUUUGCCUUAAAUAAUGUUACACUUCUUUCAGCUCUCCUACAAGUUGUUCUAGGAUUGGCUCCACCUAUCACAUUCUAGAUUCAUCAUUGGAGAUUUCUUCCUCUCUACUAACAUCUUCAAAUUGCUUCUUAAUGGGAGUUUUUGGUGAUCCUUCUCGUCCCAAGGAUGCUAAUAUUUCCUCUGGUUGCCUAAGUGGUGGAAUUUCCUAAAAUGGAUGGAGAAUCCUCUUAUGCCCAUAGUGCAUAAGUGUGUAAGUGUUCUCACAAGCAUCAUGUUGGACCCCUUCAUUAAAAAGCCACAAUCUUCCAUAUUCAAUAUGGGCACCUUUCAUUGGCAAAACAUCACACUAUACUAAAAGAUCAAAAUUAUUAUUAAAAGUGGAUGUUAUUAGACAACAAGAACUCACCAAAAUAGUUAUAUCAUUUACCCAUGCUAUUUAGGGAUUUAGAUGUUCCUCUAUCUUUAAAUUAAGCUUCUCAAUAAGUUCCUUUGAAGCUAAAUUGGAACUACUACUUCUAUCAAUAAUCAUAGCGUAUAACCUCCCUUGGCAAGCAACUCAAGUUCAAAAUAUGCUAAUACAUCGCCAAUCCUCCUCCUCGUCUACUCUUGGUAUAUCACCAAUUGUUGCAUAAAAAAAUUGUAGCCUUCAACUAUGGUUGCAUAAAUCAAGUAAUAUCUUCAAGCCAAAAACUCACUUUGAUUCCAAAAGUAAUGUAGGAAACCUUAGGAUGGUUGCUUACAAUCAAAUAGGUGGGUUAGGUUUCAAUAUUUUAGGGUUUAAUGAGAGGAAUGAGGAAUAAAAUUUUGUAGCAGCAGGCAAUAAUAAAACAAAAUAAAGAGAAAGAAAGAUAAAAAUGAGAGGCCUCAAAAUCUCACUAAGGCUUUCUAGGAAUCUCAUAAAAAAAAAAUAUCAAUAGUCUCACCAUUGAGAAUUGCAAAGUAUGCAAAAGGAACCAAUAUUAUUUAAUCACUCUAUCUUGGUAUCACUUAAAUUUAUUUAUACGUUUCUUGAAGAAAUCUAAAUUCUGCUAGGAUUCUAAGAACUUGUUAUGACUCUAAAUUAUAUUUCUCCUAUUAUAAUUCUAAUAAUUGACUACUCCUAAUUUAACUCCAAAAAAUACUAAUCCUAAUUUAAUGUCAACUAAUAGUAAGUCACUUAAAGAUUAUUUAUUCCUUUCCUUCCCUUUCUUGAGUAGAUCUUGGAGAUUUUUCCUCAUAAAUAUUAGUUUCUUUUGCAUACUUUGCAAUUCUUAAUAGUGAGACUCCAUUGAUUUUCUACUUGGUGAGAUUCCUAAAAGGCCUUAGUGAGAUUCUAUGGUUUCUAUUUGUCUUUCUUAUCUUUCUUUUUGUUUAUUUUGUUUUACUUUUCCCUUCUGCCAUAAAAUUUUAUUCCUUGUUUCUAUUAAUAAAUCUUAAAAGAUUGAAACCCUAGCCCACCUAUUUGAUUGUAGCCUUGUAGGCAACCAUCCUAGGGUUUCCUACAUUUGUUUUGGUAUUAGAGAGAAAGUUAUUGGCUUGAAGAUUUUACUUGAGUUGAACAACUUACACAACCAUGAUUGAAGGCUAUAAUUUUUUUAUGCAACCAUUGGUGAUUAUACCAAGUGAAAAAAGAAGAGGAUUGGCAAUAUACUAGCAUCGUCCUAACUUGUAUUGCUUGCCAAAGGAGAUUAUGCACUAUGAUUAUUGAUAGAGGUGGUAGUUCCAAUUUAGCUUAAAAAAACCAUGGGUUUUUUAUGAAAGGUUCCAAUAUAUGAUGGCUAUGAGAACACUUGUGUGCAAUAAGCAUAAGAAGAUUCUUUGUCCAAUGAAGGAAAUUUAACCACUUAAGCAACAUGGAAAAAUUAACAUCCUUCGAACCAAAAGAACCAUCAAAGACUCCCACAAGCAAUUCAAAGCUGCAAGUAAGGAGGAAGAAAUCCUCAAUGAUGAAUCUAGAAUGCAACGGGCAGUGGUCUAUCCAAAAAAAGAAUGCAAUGGGCAGUGGAACCAAUCCUAGAACAACCCAUAUGAGUACUCAAAGAAGUGCAACAUUAUUUAAGACAAAAUAUUAUUAUGAUUGGUGGCAAACAUGAAGAAUCCUAUAAUGGUAUAAUAUGAAUUGCUGGAAUUUUCUUUUGAAUUUAAGGAAUUCAAGAAUCUCAUUCUUCUACAAGAUUGUUUACAAGAAGAGUCUAGGAAGUAACUUGCUACAAGCUUGCUGAUGAAUCAAUAAUUUCGAGAACUAUCAACUUGUUUCAGAACAUUGGAAAAUCUUUGGAAGUUUGGUUCUUGCCUUGCAUGAACUUGAAUAAGUUCAAUAGAUCUUGAGAUCCUAUCUUAUCAUGGUAAAGAAUCGACAAAGAAAGAAAGGGUGGAAGGCAUUGCUCGGGAUUUUAAUUGAUUGUGGAAAAUCACUAAAACUCGAGGUUAAGUUUUUUUUUUCCAAGUCCAAGGGAAUUGAUGAGGAUGAAUCUCCAAGAUCUACUAAAGAAAGGGAAGAAAAGGAAUAAAUAAACUUUAAGUGACUUUGUAUUAGUCGGUGUUAAAUUAGGAUUAGUAUUUGUUUUAGUUAAAUUAGGAGUAACUAAUUAUUAGAAUCAUAAUUGGAGAAUUGGAAUUAGUCUCAUAAUAGGUUAUUAGAAUCCUAGUAGAAUUUGGAUUUCUUAGAUAAGCUUAUAACUAAGGCUAACUGAUGUAAGACCAAGAUAGGGUGAUUAAAUAAUAUUAGUUCCUUCUGCAUACUUUGCAAUUCUCAAUGGAUGAGACUCUUUAAUUUUUUCUUUUCUAGGUGAGAUUCUUAUAGAGCCUUGCUCCUCUCUUGAAACCCUAAAACAUAAAACCCUAGCCCACCUAUUUGAUUGUAGACAACCAUCCUAGGGUUGUCCUACAUCAAGGGAACUCAAUCAAUACCUAUGUUUGAGUUAACUGAUCACCUGCCAGCAUGACUCUGGCAUUCAUGUGUGCCAGCUGCUUCAACUUUAAAGGGCUGAAUCUCCAUUUUGCAAUCUUUUUCAUGCUCUCUCCUCACAUUGCUUCCCAGACACCAGGAAAUCUCAUUUCUAUGCAAGUUUUAUCAUAUAUUUUUUUUUUACCAAAAAGAAAAAAAGAAGGAAAAAAAAAAGAGAGAGAUGGUUUUUAGUCUCCCAAAGCCAGUGAAUACAUGAUAAGUUUCAUUCAUUCGUAUUCCAGCAACAUCUAUGCCAACAUCAUGAAAAAUAUAAACGUUUCACUGAUGGAAAUGGGAUAUAUUGAUAAAUAGUUUUCUUUAGCUGUUCUUAAAAUUAACUGUUGGUUUAAUAAUACUGCUAAAGCUCAUCUAUGUUAGUUUCAGCAGUUUCCCAGUAUAAAAUUGAAAUUUGCAGAUGGAUCAGGUGAUUGCCAAUAUAUAUGAUGAAUACACUCAACACACAUCAUUUUUAGGGGAUAGCUUACCAUGCUUAUCAUACAUACAUAUUGCAUUUAAUAAAAUUCAUCACAGUUUGAUCUAGACUAUUGAUUGUUAUAGUUGUAUUCAACCAUGUCAUUAUGCAUAUGAUCAUGUAUCUAGUUAACAGUCUGAACCCCUAUUAGAUUUUGAAACCUGUAGACAUAUCAAUGCAACAUGGUUUCUCCCUGCUUGUAUGCAUAUCUAGGUCCAGGCAGAUGGUUGAAUUUUGCUUUAAACAGCUUGUUCUAAAAUAUGAGUUUUGGUAGUUCUCUCAGCUUGUGUAAAAUUCCUUGUGAUUAAAAAUAAGCUUAAAGAGGAAAUAAAUGGGAACAUCUUUCUGGUCUCUUUAUUUCGCAUGAUUUUUUUUUUCCAAUUGAGUAAGGGGCUACAGUCAAGGUCUUCACCAGUAAGGUUAGGAUGAGUUCUUGCGCUUUUCCAGAAGGAAUAUCUUUACAGGUCUUAAGGGAUUUUUUUCAGGUGCCUUAUGGAAAUUUUUAUCUUUGGCAAUUUCUUGUGUAGUUGUGUUAUAUGUAAAUGCUAAAGACUAAAGAUCUACAAUUAGGAGUAACACUCAAUUAAACUCAAUGAAGUCUCAUUCCAAAAGGACAGGUCAACAAAAUCCUGUUUCAUCAUUUUGCUUUGGGCUGUAUGGUUCUGUCAAAUCACAGGUCUUCGUGUCGUUCUCACCCCUUCAACCUCUUAGGUGUACAGGCAGAUUGAUUGAUGUAUUCACUGGAGGAGGUCUGGCUGGAAAAUUUUGUUAAUUGGGGAUGCAGUUACCAGAAGUGGGUGUUCCAAGACUUGUUUAUAGAUUGGAAUACCCCAAACAAUCCCCCAGAUUCAGUUCUAUUCUUCUUAUAAAAAUCUGAAGAAAAUUUUUUCCAUGUUUGUACAGUCUGUUUUCUGUUUAUUCUGCACAUGAUCAAAUAAGAUCCAUCUACUCUUAUGUGUGUUAAUUAGAUUGAAGAAUUCAUUUACAUUUUCUAUGCCAUAUUUACCUUUGCCUUUGCCUACUUGAUGUCUUUGAUAUAUGCAUUAUAUGUUGCAUUUCUCCCUACAAGAUCUAUUCUCUACUCCAGUUCCCAAAAGACCAAGCAACAUUGAAUUCAGGAUUCUCAUUGAAAUUUAAUUGGACCAAAAUGGUGCCCAACUUAGAUGUAGACACUUCAAACAGAAGGAAGAAUGAAGAAGUUUGGGUAUUCCAUUUUGGUCCAAUUAAAUUUGAAUGAGAAUUCUGAAUUCAAUGUUUGUGACCCUUAUCUCAGUUUAGUCCCAAGUUAAUAAUCUAACAGUCAAAAUAGGUCUGAUUUUUUGGAACAAUUUUGAAUAACAUGGUUUUUUAUGGCAUUUUAUAGAGAACUAGAAAUAAUUAUCUGUCUUCCUUCAUUCAUGCUGUUUCACCUUAUAUUCCAAGUACAAUUGUCUAUCUACAUAUGAGUCAUGUGCCGCACAAAUUCUCCUUUAGGUCACUGUCGAUAUGGUGUGGAUCUUGCCAAGCAGUUAUCAGCCUGUCUGCAUGGGGUUCUUGUGAGCUGUGGUAGUGUGAGAAUAUCUUUCUCAGAAAGAACUCCUGAGAAGGUAUUGCCAUAUAUUUCAUAUUUUGCCAUACAUAUUAAAGGAUUCAUGAAAAAAUAACCAUGAAAAGGUAUUUUACUGCGUUACCAAUUUUUUGGAAUAUGGUACAAUGACCUUUUCUUUGUGCUGCACUUUUUUAACAGGUAUCCAAUGUCAUAGUGAAAGAACAUAUAGAUAAUCCAAAAGUUUAUAUAUGGGAUGGUGCAGGUAAUCUUAGUCGAUUUGAUUCUGAAUGAAUGAAUAAAAUGGAACUAAACCAUGAUAUGAUCAUCUAAUUUAUAUGUUGUGUGAUAAUCUAUAGAACCAAAUCCACACAUGGGACAUCUAGCUUGGGCUGAUGCUUUUGUUGUCACAGCAGAUUCAGUGAGUAUGAUAAGUGAGGCUUGCAGCACAGGGUAUGCUUCAGAAGAAUUUACCCCUAUGAUUGAUGAUAAUUUGGAGCAUCUUGAUGUUCUCUUUUUCUUUUUCCUUUUAGGAUAUGAUACUUGUUUAUAUUCUCUUAUUAUAUUGCAAUAUUAGUUAUUUCAAUUUUUGUUGCUGUAGCAAGCCUGUAUAUGUCAUUGGAGCUGAGCGUUGUACAUGGAAGUUCUCAGAUUUCCAUAAUACUCUGAGGGAACGAGGAGUGGUUCGACCAUUUACGGGUAGCGAAGAUGUAAGUGGAAUACUGUAUAAUUUUUGUACCUUUCUGAUAUGAGAAUUGAGAAAAUGGUAAAAGGGUAUCUUAUUUUGAAAUAAAUUCUUUUUAAACAGAAGCUGUUUGCUGCUUAUCUCGUUGUCUUGUGUAAAAUUUUAUAGGAGAUUUGCCCUAUCUUCCUUUACAUUCUCCUCAGAUGUAUCAUUUAUUCUGCUUAGAUCUUCUUCUUUUUUUUUUUUUUUUUUGCUUAAAACAUUUUUAUCCUAUACUAUUUGUUUCCUUUCCGGUUCUUCCUUUGAAAUUUUGUUUUUUUUGCCGUAUCAUAAAGAAAAUUUUAGAUAGCAUCUUCCUGAAACUACAGCCUGUUUUUCUUUUGUCUUCCAAAAUUGCAACAUAUAGUAUAGACCCCAAACAUAACGUUGUAAACAUAUUUCUUAAAAGAAGAAAUGUUCUUUUCUGAUUGAGAGCUUUUUUGUUGCAACUCCUUCAGUUCCCUUAACCCCAUUAGGCAUUUCCUUCCUCUUGUGUAGUUCCGAUAUGUUACUGUUGUCAAAGGAAGACUUAUCUGGUGGUCGGUUAGACGCUGAUUAGGAAGGGGCUUCUUUAAAUAUUGGUCCCUUGAUUGUACUCAACCAUAUUUUGUGGGAGAGAAGUCAAAACUAAUUUGAAGCAUGUGUUCUGCCUUUUUGUAUUUUUCAGAUAUCAGAAAGCUGGAGCUACCCACCCCUUAAUGACACGGCUGAAGCAGCUAUUAAGGUGCGUGAAGCACUUGCCGAGCGUGGAUGGAGAUUGCGGCCAUAAGGAACUGUUUGACUAUAGUUGUAGGCCCAUUGCUAAAUAACUUUUUUUUCAAAGGUGCAGAAUUCUGAAAAUUAAGUUUGUUCUUAUACAACAUAUAGGAGAACAAAUCAUUGAUAGCUUAAUUCUUUGCCCCUCAGGGGUUCUGAGAUGAAAAGAUGUGCAGAAUAAAUAUGAGCUCCACACUGCGGCUUGUAAAAUAGAAAGAGGCAGACAUGUAUCUUGCAGCCAUGCUGGAAGCCAUUUUAAAGAGUGGGUUUUAGUGAAAAAGGUUGUUUUUGUGCUGCAAAUUUUUGUGGAUCUGAACUUAUGCUUUAUCCACUUGGUGUUUUGAUGUUGAUUUGUUGAUUCACACUUCUCAAAGGAAGGCCAAAUUAAUGAAAUGGGCAAUGCUGUCAUUUUAUUUGUUUCUUUGUUUAUGUUUAUGGUGGACGCCAAAUAACUCCCUAAUGAAGCAGGUAAAUGAUGGUACCUGGCCCUUGUUAGUGGACUGAGAAUCUGAGAUAUUGUAUGUACAGUAUGAAUCUGAAUGGCAUAUUGUUUUUGUUUUCUUUUAAUGUGUAAAAGUUAUAUGUGAAAUUGGCUGCUUCUUUUUUUGGCCCAAUCUUAUUAUUUAUUCAUUUUGGUGGUGGGAUAUGGCAUCAGAGUAGCUUUAGCCUUUGGGUGCUUUUCACAUUUGUUGUAUCAUAAUUAUGGGUGGAUAUGGAGUAUGUAAUGAAUGAAGUAUGGGCCAGAUGGACCGCCCAUGGCAUUAUUGGGUUUUAUUAUUAUUAAUGUUGUUCAAUUUUGCUUGGAAAGGUGGAAAAUUAGGAGAAAAUUGGGGUUAGGGAAGUAGAAUAAGAGCAGAAAAGGACUCAUUGGAAGAAGUGGAUUCAUACUUGGUGUGUAUUUUUUAAAACUGAGAUGGAAUUGGAAUUGCCCGUGUUCCUACCAUGAUUGGUCUGGUCUCAAGUCUCAAUAUUCAACUAGUAGGACAGUAGUAUGAUGAAAAUGAUAGAAGAAAAGGGUGUGGUAGCAGACGAUGAAACAUCAAUCUAUAAAAUUAUGAAUGUAAAAAACAUUUUGUAAGUUAUAAUGGGUAAAAGGGGCCUAAUAAAUUAAUAUUUAUAGUUUUACAAAUGAUAUCAUACACACUUAAAGAAAAAGAGAUCAGUUGGAUGAUAUGGAUGCAGUUGUGAAGAGGAAGAAGCCUGGAUUCAAUAACCAUAUUAGUAAAGUGGUUGAUAGAAUCAUCUGAUCCAUCACCAACUAGAUAUGCGCGUAUUAAGUGGAGCAAGUUUGCAACGACUCCUCCCCCCACUGUAUAAUUAUGCUGUACAAGCACCUAACUUCCCAUAAUAUAACUACCCCAUUCACUUGUUUCAUUUUCUAUAUCCUUCAAUCUCCGGUCUCUAUAUAUAACACACUCUCAUCAGGGCUGUUCAUCACAAGCUCCUACUUCAAAAUUAACGGCAUCCAUCAAUACCUCUAAGGACAAAAUGAAGAGCACUGGUGAAGCAACAGCUAUCAACAUUGGGGAGACCAAGUCUGCUUCUGCUACUACCGUGGCCACCACAAAAGCUAUCCAACAUCCAAAAGCAGGAUUGAAGAGAGGUCUUGCCAUUUUCGACUUCAUUCUCCGGCUCUCUGCCAUUGGGGCUGCUUUGGCUGCCACUACCACUAUGGGCACUACUGACCAGACUCUCCCUUUCUUUACUCAGUUCUUCCAGUUCCAAGCUAGCUACGAUGAUCUUCCCGCUUUCUCGUAUGUUAUCCUUUCAAAUUCUAUUUGCAUGGGGGCUAGCUCAUAUUGGUCUAUACUUCAUCCAUAUAUAUAUGCAGGUUUUUCGUGAUUGCAAAUGCUAUAGCUAGUGGAUACCUCUUCCUGUCCUUGCCCUUUUCCAUAGUCUGCAUCGUUCGGCCGCAUGCCAUGGGAGCAAGGCUCCUCCUAGUCAUCUGUGACACUGUAAGUUGAAGCCAGUAAUAAUUUGGAGCAAAAACCAACAAUAUAAAUCUGUAUCUCUCGUGUUCUGAUAUAGAAUGAAGGUAGCUACUGAUCAAACACUGUCCAAAAACACUGCAGGUCAUGGUUGCUCUCACCAUAGCUGCUGCUGCCGCUGCUGCUGCCAUAGUCUACUUAGCUCAUAACGGGAAUUCAAACGCCAACUGGGUGGCCAUUUGUCAGCAAUUCGAUGACUUCUGCCAGAGUGUCAGUGGGGCCGUUGUGGCUUCCUUCAUUGCAGCAGUCCUCUUCAUGUUGAUGAUUGUCCUCUCAGCUUUCUCUCUGCGAAAGCAUUGAGAUUAUUUGACAAUGGACUAUUUUCUCAGAGCUGAAUCUGAUAUAUUACCAACCUAUAUAUAGUCUUUUAAUUUACACGUAAACUUCUCAUUAAACUUGUGAGUUUGGGUUGGGGCAUGGUGGUGAAUUGCAGUGUUGAAGCCAAUGUUAUGUUUAAGUUGGUUUGAUGUAUUUGGUGAAUGUAAUGAAAUUAAGUGGUUUAUCUGUUUCCCAGCAUUGGGUCUUCAUCUUUUUUCAUUUUCCUUUAUGGAUCUCUCCAUCUAUCCUAUAAACUAUAUCUAUCUAUAUAAAAAUGUUGAACUUAAAAGUCAAAAUAUAUUUAUUAAAUUAUUUAAGGAGAACAUAAACACUAAUAUAAUAAGCAUCAUCCCCUUUCACGAGGGCAAGUCUUGUCCUUGUUCACGAUGGCGGAGCAAGCAAUUUAGUUCGAGGGGGCAACCCUUGAAAUAAAUACGGGCUUUAGCCCAAUGAUUCAAAGUUGUCAUUGUUAGGGGGUAAUAAUAGUCCAAAGUUCUAUCAUUAUAAGAGUUGUAAGAGUUAUUUGAUUAUAAGGGUCAUUAAAAAUGCAAUUUUGGAAAUCUAAUAAUUCAUCAUUUUCUAGCCACAUUUUGACAAAAAUAUUCUCAAUCUUUUUUUUUAUGUAAAAUAACUCCUUUUUUUUUUUUAAUGUACAUGUAAAUACUUGAAAUAGUUAAGGGUAUUUAUGUCAAAAUGGGUUAGUCUUUAAAUAAAAACAUGGAAAAUGUUAAAUUCACAAAUAUGAUGAUUAUUUCAUCUUUUUUUACCACUUAAUUUUUAUUACAAGAAGUGUAGUUUUUUUGUUUUAAUAUUUUUAAGGGAGGCAUGUACCCCCCUAGGCACAAGUCGGCUCCACUAGUGCUUGUUCUUUCCUUUGCUUGCGGUAAGGGAAGUCAUCUCCAAUUGGAACUAUCGAGCUACAAACUAGUGUGACGUUUCAUUAGUGGGCGAUGCAUGUUAGUGCUCGAUUUAACAAGGUGUAACAUAUCCCACAGUAUGGUCUAUAUAUCCACGUCGAAGCACAUAAUGGCCAAAUAAUUUCAUUCACCUUCUCUAAUAAUUUACUUAAAUAUAUAUAACUUUCAUUGGUUUAAAAUUUUGUAAAAUACCUCUUUUGUUUUGAGUUAUAAUGAAAGUAAAUAAAAACAAUAAAUAAAAAGGAUAAGAGAAGUAUUUAAUAAAAUUUCAAACUAAUAAAUAUCAAAUGUAUUAAUUAAAAUCUUAAAAAAGAUUAAUGAAAUCAACUUUAAAGAUAAUUAACCUAGACUCUUUGAAAUUAAAAAAACAUCAUAUAAGUUAAACUUACUUUUAGAUUAAAUUACAAAAUAUGUUUUUGAAUUUUCGUGGAAAAGACAUCUUGCAGUACUUGUGAUAUGAUCUUAACACAUGUGAUAGGUCACUCGUUAAAGCUUAGCACAUGUCAUAGACUCGUAUACGACAUUAGAUGACCCAACUCUAAAAAAAACCAUUGCACCAACCUCAUGGGAUAAUCCAUCUCACACAACCUCUUAAGGAUUUGGACUUGUUAGAAGACAAACGACCAAGUUGACAACUCUCACACAAAGGGUAUAGGUUUGAGGGUGUAAGACUUAACAACCAUAUUUUGAGUAGAUAAUGUUGUCUAGUAGAAAACCAUCUUCUCUGUCUUAAAGCCAUAUCCUAUUGAGUCACAAAGUUUCACAGUAGUUAACCCAAAUGAUCAACCAGUCCAACCAAAAAAAAAACUUUCGAAUUUGUUUGUUUGUUUCUUUUUACUUAAAUCUAAAUAAAACUUAAUUUUACCUGACUUUAAAUAUAACUUAAUAAUAUUAAAUAUUAAAUUAUUUAUUUUUAUUAAGUAUUAAAUAUUAAUAAGAUAUGAGUAACCGUGUUUUAUUGUUUUGAAAAAUUAUUUUUAACAUUCAACAAAAUACUAAAUAUUUUGAUCUUAACUAAAAGAAAAGUUACAAACAAACAUUUAAAGUUUUAAAAAAAAUUACAUUCAAUAUUAAAUUAAAAAACAAAUAUCACCUUAGUUAACAAGUUAAAAACCUAAUACCUUACAAUCCCCUCGAUAUUCUUAAGAAUAAACACUAGCGAAUUACAAGAUAUAAUAAAUAACCUAGUUUCCCUUUUCCUCUUUUUUUUUUUUAUCAUCGUUUAUGUUUUAUUCGUAUACCCAUUUGUUCAAUGGAGAAAUUUCUUCAAGAGAGACCCAGUAAUAGAAAUGAUAAAGUUUGAUAAGAUUCACCAAUACAACAUAAAUCUAAUACAUUUUUCGUAAGUUUAAAUUAAAUAUAAAUGAAUUUAAGUUAGAUUUAUGUUGGCUUCCAUAACCUGUUUAAUAAAAUAGUAAUUUUUCAAGUUGCAUAACACGAAUUCGAUCUAAAUGGACCCGAUUAAUAAUCUCACCAUUAAUCUAAUUAUAUUUUUAAACAAUUUAACCUACAUUUAACUCAUUUUAAUUUUAUUUUUAAAUAAAAUAAGUGAAUUGAAUCAUAAAUUUAUUUGGUCAAGAUAUGAUUAAAUGUAUACAAGAUCUAAUUCAACUUAAUUAUUAAAUAGAAAGACCUAAUUAUUAAAUAGAUUAAAUGAGUUACAUGAUAUAUUACCAGUUUAAUAAUUAGAUAGUAUUUAUGUUUAUGAUUUUCACAUAAUUAUUAGUAAAAUAUAUGAUGUCGGGUUUGGAUUGAAUUAUGUAAUAGAAUAUAUGGAUUUUAACGAGAUAUGUACACCACCCAACAACAUGAAUUGCAACCCUUACCUACUAAUACUCACUCUACGUGCUCUCUCUACAUAGAGCAUCAUGGGCUCCAGGAAUUGAGGAGCAUGCCAAGCAACAAGCAUCCAUUUCAGGCCAUCUCCACAUCAGCAUCUAGUUUCCAACAGCAACAGUUACCCUGUCUCCAUCCACGUCUAAUUAGCGACUAAUGGACGAUUAGCAUUCAUGUUUUGUUUCACAUGUAUAUUAUUAAAAAAAGGGAUGAUGUACCAUAGAAAAGACUCUCGAUAUUGUUGGAAAUUUGUACAAAUGUAAUCAUUUAACUCAUUGAAAAAUUCUUCUCUCUAAUCUCUAUCAUGUCGAUGUUAGCAGCCAAGCUUUUUUUGGAAGAAUCAUUUGUAUAGUAACAAAAUAAGCUAGGGAUAAAGCCUAUUUAAAAAAAUAAAAAAUAAAAAAAUUCAAACCUUAUAUUCUCAAAAUACUUUUCCUAGCUCUCAAGAUAUUUCCUUAAUUAUAAGAAAAGACACAUCCCCAUAUAUUCUUCUAUAAAAAAAUGUUAAAAAAAAGAUGAUAAUACAUUUAAUAUUAUCAUCUAAAACCUAAUUCAUCAUAUUCAAAUCAAAAUGAUGGUUAAAAGUAAUAUUUUUAGUAUUUCUUGGAUUAUUCCUUUGAGUUUUUAUAAUAAGCGUGUCCGUUUUAUAUAUAGGGUUGUUACGCGUAAACUUCUGAAUGAUCACGAGAGAGUCAUAAGUUUUUCUAGCUAAAUGUCAAAUAGGAGGCAUUACCCAAUUAAUAUGACCUUAUUGAUUAUCAAGUGAUAAUGUAAAAAUGUAUAAAAGGUCAAAAGAUACCUUUUGAUAAAUGGUACUGAAAGGGUUCCAUUAUUUUGGUCGUGGUAUCAGAUUGAAUUGCAUCAUUUUUGAGAUAUUUAGGUGUUAUAUACCUAACUCUGACACCACCAAUGAUACUUAUACUAUACAUUCUUGUAUAUACCACGAUAAAAACCAAAAUGUAUUUAUUAAUAUUUAGACCAUCCUUUUUCUUUAUCCUCAAUCAUCAUUAAACGCAAGUGGGAGGGAUAGUAUAAACAACAUGUGUCUAGUUUUCUACUAGCAUUUCCUUUCUUUGUUUUGAUUAAUUGAAAAAAAAUGUCCAACACAUUCCAUAAGGAGCCCAACUUCACGCGAAUAUUCCAACACAACACGUGGGGGUUUUCGUUUUUCACCCAUAGAACGGGUUUGGCAAUGUGAAAAAGGGGAGGAUAAAACAGUAAUUUCAAAGUUUCCACCAGGGAGCAAGGAAAGAAUCCCUUCUGACAAGGAGUGACUCACACGCACGCCAAUCCCAUCAACUCUGACUCGAACUCAACUCCACACUCGCGUAAGGAACCGCCCAAAACUUGCCACGUGUCUUAUCGGCGACGAGGGGCACCAGCCAUUACCGGGAAAAUCCACGUCAUAUUCCUAUUAAACAUAAAAAUAAAAUAAAAUAAAGUGGCCGCCUCCAACUCAUUUUCCCCAAGUUUCCAUCUCUCUCUCUCUCUCUCUUUCUUUUUUUUUUUAGUUCUCUCUUUCUCUCUGAUAACUUCAGACUCUCUCUCUCUCUCUCUCUCUCUCUUGCGCCUUCGUCUUGAAGUUAUCUUGAAAAACCCUAGAUACCAUUUGUUGAAUCUUGUUGCUUUCAAGUGCAUUUGGGCUCAGCUUUUGUAGAUCUCUCUCUCGCUCUGCAGGGUCGUUCAGGUGAGUCUAUAGACUCGGAGUCGCGCUGAGUCGACUCGAGGGUUUUAUGGUUUUCUUUCUUUUUUCCUUUCUUUCUGAUUUGCGCUGAUUUUGGUCUUUUUGGUGUUUGGUGGAUGUCUGGUUUUGUUUUGUUUUGUUUGUGUUUCUGUUUGUGUUUGUGUUUUUUUUUUUUUUGUUUUCUGUGGGUUAUCGCGGUUUGUUUUGGGGAUUUCGAUCUUUGCUUCUUGGUUUUACUCUCUGUUUGGUUGCCGAGAAAAUCGAGGGGAAGAAAAGGGAAUGAUGUUUGGGAUUGGGGGGGCGUUUGCUGUUUUCUUGGGAUGGGAAUCGCGGAAAUUCUUGGAUUUGGAAGUUUGAUUUCUUUUCAUUUCUUGUCCUGUCUUUUUUUGGUAACCAAACGGAAUUUGGCGGAGAAAUAUAUAUAUAUUUUUUGAUUUUCUUGGGAAUUAAUUAUUUUGAAUGCAGCUCGGUGCUUUUGGAGGUGAAUUUUCAGGAAUUUUCCGGUAAAUUCGACUUCUUAGAGGGUUUUCUUGUUUAAAGUUGGAGGUCUGGGUCUCAUGAGAAUUGUUAGGGGAAUGCAGAGAUUGAUUCGUGAGGAGCAGAAGGCACCGUGCUGGAACAAAUCAUUUGGCCGGGGGAUUGACAUUAGCGCGCCUAAGGCAAGGACGCGUGAUAAACCUAUGCUCUAGGUUUUAAGUUUGUAAAAUUGGGAUUCUGGGAGGGAGAUUGGGGAUAGGGUUUCAGUCGUGCAAGAGAAAGGAUGACUCGGAUUUUGGUUCAGCGUGGUUCUGGUUCGAACCCUAAUCGCACUUCUUCCUUGCCCAGUUCUUCUUUGGCUCCAUCCCAGCCUCAGGCCGCUACUCAAGUUCCUUCUACUGUCAAAGAUGAGGAAGUCGGAGAGGAGGUGCAGGAACAAACAAUCGUGGAUGAUACCUUGGAGACUUGUGAGAAUAAGGUGACGAAAACUGAUGAUCUUUUGCAAGAAAGUGUCCGGAAUGACAAUGCAAAUGAUGAUAAUGUUGAUGGUGAAAAGAUUGUUAAUGAUGAUGUUCUGGGGUCUGGGGAUUUGGAUCAAGAGUUUGGUGGGUUGAGGAUUAAUGAGAAACUUGCAGUUGAAAAUGAGGGCUCGAGUGCUGAUUCUUCACAGAUUGUUAACAGGAGUUCCUAUCCCCCUCCUCCUCCUGUCCCUCCCCCAAAACAUUGGGCGACUAAUUCAAAUCCAAUGAGAUUUGGCUCAGACGGUUCAAAUUCUGUACGGAUUGGAUCACCUAGAAGAGCAGUUGCCUGGCCUAUUGUUUCAACUAGGACUUCUCCAACUGGUUCACGGCCUUCCUCUCCCAGGUCUCAUGGUGAAAGUGAAGGUUACAAUAGUGCUGAUGAGCAGAAUUCCUGCUUUGUAUCCUCCUAUGAUGAUGCUGUAAGUCCUCAUGGUUUUACUACUAACUAAUGAAGUGACUCUGGCAUAUGCUUGCUUGUUAUGGGUUAAGACCCAUAUUUUGGUUUGUCAAAUGAUUGGCCAGCCUGCUUACUGUAUAAAAUUUCUUUAUAUGUCUAAGUAGUAAGAAGCUUAAGUUCCCUUACCUCUCCCCAUAUCAUUUGAUUAGUUAUGUAGGCAUCAUUUCUUGUUUAAAUACAGUUUGUGCUUCUUUGAUUUGAAUUAUUUAUUGGUUCUGAUGUGUCUUUCAAUGUUGGAGGUCCCACCCAUGUUGCCCAUUAUAACUCUUAUACACCCCAUGAUCGAAGCCCUUGUUUUAGCUAGUUAGUUGGAUAGAAGUAUCACAUUGAUCUUUUUCUAAUGCUGAAAUUAUCCUUCCUUCUUUAACAUGGAAAAUGGUGCACUUUCUUCUUGAUCUGGAUGUCACAAUCUCAACUUGAUCUUGUACUGUUGCAGAGCUACUGUAUACAUGUGAUUCAACAUUCUAACAUCAGUGUGUUGCAUCCAUUUCAGGAAAGAGAACGCCAAUUUGAGAUUGAUAUCAGGCGGGCAAAAGGUUUAGAAGUCAAACGGAUGGUGGAGGAUGGGAACUGCCUCUUUCGUGCUGUUGCAGAUCAGGUCUAUGGGGACUCUGAAGCGUAUGAUUUGAUUAGGCAAAUGUGCAUUGAUUAUAUGGUAUGGCAUCUUCUUUAUGUGAAUAUUCAUUUGAAUGAUUUAUUUUGUUUGUGCUUAUAUUUUUGUAGUGUACUGCUAUGCAGACAAUUAUGAGCAAAUUUUUAGCUGCUAAAUAACCUUGUGACUUGUUCAAAUGAAAACAAAAGGCAUGUGAUUUGUGUAGAUGGGUGCAGUAUAUUGGACAUGGAAAUUUUGCAAACUCUAGAUUUGGAAUCCUAGAAUGUGUUCUUAUUCUGUUUUCUCUUUUUCUCUGUGUGUGCGUGUGUUGUUUUGUUUGCUUGUCGGAUGCUUUUGUUUUCUACCCUCUCCCCCAUGUAACCAAAUGAAAAGCAAAGUUUUCACAUUCUUCACCAUAAUGGAAUUGUUAGUUCUUUUUUUGGAUAGUGAAAACAUGCUUUUGAUAUCUUCCAAGUUUCUUUUUGUAUUUACAAGCACACAGCUCGUUCGUUGCACUGUUACAGGCAAUCAAAUACCAUUAUGAAUUUUUAAAAAUCAAACUUAAUAUGCUUCAAAAGGAAAACAAUCAAUGUUUAAGGGCAGAUGAUGACUUCAGUGAGGCUGCUGCAAAAAUAUGUUCUUGAAAUGGUGGUACAUUGUAUUCAGACCCGUCUAUAUAGUUUGCAAUGCAACAAUUAUACAUUUCUAAAUAUUUUGCUAUUAAAAAAUUUUUAUAGUAAGAAAACUACUUAAAAUUCUCUCACUAAGAAACCCUCUUGAGUUUUUUUAGUGAUUUUUCAUAUGUAUUAGGAAAAAAAGAGAGGAAGAUUUUGAGUCAAGUCAUCCUAUGCUAUAUUAAAAUUCUUGGGCAUAUUUAGCUAUUUUUCAAUGUAUGGGUAAAAAAAAACAGAAGAUUUUGACUUGAUGUGCAACAGAGGGUAAGUUUAGGUGUAGUGCAAGGUCUUGAUGUGCUUUUGCAUACCGAAAAGGGUAGCGAUCUCACUAAUUGGGACAAGCAAAGGAAGAAAGAAAAAGCUAGAAGUUAAUUCAAAAUCACAUCAUCCACAAGAGCCUUUUCUGUUUUCCAUCUUUGGUGUUGUUUGAGGAAAGGAUUCUGUACUCAGUUGGCAUGUUAGUUAGAAAUAAGGUAGCACAACUGCUCCUUAGGGUUUGCUUUUUUUUUUUUUUUGAUAGGCAAACACACAAAAAGCAUAUAUUAGAAAAGGGCACCUUGAGGCUAACCCAAAAGCAUACAGGGAGUAUAAAAAGAGGCGCCAAAGGGCACAAAAAGAAGAGGAAAUAUAAAACCAGCCCACAACUAGCACACCUAGCCAAUAAAAAAAAACUGAGUAAAGGGAGAGGACCAUCAUUUACAAUCAACUUAGUCCACAACCAAAGGUUACAUACGAAAGAAUUUUUCAACCUAUGAAUCAAAAGCUCCUUAUUAUCAAAAGCAAUCCUAUUUCUCUCCUUCCAAACCGUCCACAAAAUACACAAAGGGGCUGCCUUCCACACCUUUCUGCGCUUCUUGCCCAAGUUAAAGCCACACCAACCACUAAGGGUAUCUCUAACCGAAAAAGGAAGGACCCAAGUAACACCAAAAAGAGCAAACAAUAACUCCCAUUACACUCUUGCCCUGGAGCAUUGAAUAAGAAUAUGAUCAAUUGACUCUUCUUCCUCACAGCAAAGGAAGCAUCUGUUAGCUAGAAAUCGGCCCCUCUUUUUGAGUUGAUCUAAAGUUAGCACCUUACCCCAAGAAGCUUCCCAAGCAAAGAAACACACUUUAGUAGGCACACAAGGAUUCCAAAUAAUGCUAAUAGGGAACUGAAUAACUCUUCUUGAAACUAGAGUACUAUAAAGAGAUUUAACUGAGAAAAUCCCAUCCUUAGUCUCUUUCCACAUCAUUCUAUCUUCCAUAAGAGGAUUAAGCCUCCUACCCCGUAUUUUCAAAAGUAAUCUCUCCACCUCCUCCACCUCCCAAGUCAUUAAAGGGCCUAGAGAAGCUAGGACUCCAAACCCCUUCUUCUCCCGAAUGAUCCCACAACUCCUCUAACCAAGCCUCUAUGAUGCAGAGGCAUACAAAGAGGGGAAGGAAUUACACAGAGUGAAAUUUCCACACCAAUUAUCUUUCCAAAAUUUCACCCUUCUACCAUUCCCCACAGAAAAGACUACUUUGUUUUGCAAAAGAGCGCCUUCCUUCCUUAGGGACUUCUUAUGUCUGGUUUGCUUAUCUAAGGAUUCUCUUGGGAAAGGUUCUUAUCCAUAUUGGUUUGUUGAAGGUGGAUUCUCUUAGGGAUUGUUGUUUUGUCCUGGAUUUUUCCUGUCUUUCUGCAGUGGGGUAAUGUGUGUAUAUUUUGUGUACAUUAGGGUUUUCCCUCUUUUCACACACUUUUGUAUACUAUGUUUGCUUAGAAGAAAAGGAGUGUUGAUGCCCAAUGAUAGGAUCUGGCAAGAAGUAGCAAGGCAUUAAAGUUUAAGAUUUGAUCUUGAUUCGUUCUUGCAAAUGAUAACAAUGAUGUUUUGCUGUGAUUACUCCAUGUGUCUCCUAAUGUACUUGAGCCGUGCCCCUUCAUUGUAUUUUUAUAAUACCUGCUUUUCCUAUAACAUUAACAGAACUAGGAUCUUGCCAUGGGUGACACUGUUCCAUUUUGCAUUUGAUGGAAAUCCAUCAUUUGUGUUUAAAUCGAGUCAAUUAAGAACCACUCCUAGUUUCACAAGUCUAGAUUCAAUGAUCUGGGGCAGGCCUACAUCACCUAGGGUUUGUCUUGCUAGUAGUUGGAAUAAAUGCCUCAUUGUUAGGAGGUGGGUUUGUUUUGGGGAGAGGGGGUCAAUCUCGGGUUCUUGUUAUCCAGAAAAAAGAUAACAGUCAACAAGCAUACAUGUGUAUAUGCAUGUGUGUGUAGGUAUGUAUGUAUAUAUAUGUAUAUAUGUAUAUAUGUAUGUUUAUAUAUAUGUAUAUAUAUUAUACUUCUUGGGAUGUCCAUAAGUCUUCUGUUUGUUGUUUGGUGCUAAUGAUAAAUAUCAAAUUUAAAAGUAAGUAGGUUAAAGUUGCAAGAAAACAGGGUAUGGGUUCACUGUCUUAUAUUUCCAUCUUUGUAGAUAGAUUCAUUACUCUGGCAAUUGUUUGAUCCUCAUAAAUAAAGGAUAUCCCCUCCUCUUUUUUUGGCCUUUGUGCCUUGUAUGCAAUGUGUAUAAUUUUGGGCGCUUUUAAUACAAUUGCUUUUAUCUAAAAAAAAAAAA
rnacentral:lncRNA from 1 species